GACGAACGCUGGCGGCGUGCUUAACACAUGCAAGUCGAACGGGCCUUGUCCCCUUUUUUUUUGGGGGUGGGGUUAGUGGCGAACGGGUGAGUAACACGUUAGUAACCUGCCCCUCACUUCUGGAUAACCGCUUGAAAGGGUGGCUAAUACGGGGUGUUCUGGCCUGCUCGCAUGGGUGGGUUUGGAAAGAUUCGACCGGUUUUGGUUGUUUUGGUGGGGGAUGGGCUCGCGGCCUAUCAGCUUGUUGGUGGGGUGAUGGCCUGCCAAGGCUUUGACGGGUAGCCGGCGUGAGAGGGUGGGCGGUCACACUGGGACUGAGACACGGCCCAGACUCCUACGGGAGGCAGCAGUGGGGAAUAUUGCACAAUGGGCGCAAGCCUGAUGCAGCGACGCCGCGUGAGGGAUGGAGGCCUUCGGGUUGUGAACCUCUUUCGCCAGUGAAGAAGGUCCUGCUCUUUGUGGUGGGGUUGACGGUAGCUGGGUUAAUGAAGCGCCGGCUAACUACGUG
rnacentral:rRNA from 1 species